rnacentral:rRNA from 1 species
AUGGCCAAGGCUUGCGUACUCCGCUGUGCCGUGCUGAUGGUGUGCACGCUUUUGCUUCUCUCGUCCUCUUUCAUGGCGGCUGAGACGGCUGGCCGACAAUGGGAUCAUGGGACAAAGGCCACGGUGGCGGCAACGACAAUGGCGACAGGACGUUUUGUGAGGAAGUUGCUGCGGGAGGAGGUGGUCGAGGUGGACGAUGAAGGUGUCGUUGACAUUGGCGGCUCUAAGAGGAAGAGCCCCGGUGGCCCAGACCCGCAGCAUCAUUAA